rnacentral:rRNA from 1 species
UAGUGACCUGCGGAGGAUCAUUAAUGAGUUGUGAUGGGGUUUGAUGCUGGCAGCCAAUUUUUGGAUGCAUGUGCUUGCCCUAACAAUCAUCUUCCAAACACCUGUGCACAUUUUUGAGGGAGUUUCGAGUUUUAUUGCCGUUUUUGGUGAUUUUCUUGUAUUCCCUUGAAUUAUUAUACGCUGUUAACAAUGAUGAACGUGCUCUGUGCCGCAAGGCCAUUAAUAUAAUACAACUUUUAACAACGGAUCUCUUGGCUCUCGCAUCGAUGAAGAACGCAGCGAAAUGCGAUAAGUAAUGUGAAUUGCAGAAUUCAGUGAAUCAUCGAAUCUUUGAACGCACCUUGCGCUCCCUGGUAUUCCGGGGAGCACGCCUGUUCGAGUGUCGCGAAAUUUCUCAAGCUUGGAUGGCCUUUUUGUCUGUCCUUAGCCUUGGUUGUUGGGCUUUGCCGUGUCCUUUGUUGGGACGGCUGGCCUUAAAAGCAUUAGCUGAUCCUCGUGUGGCACUGGUUCUACUCAGCGUGAUAACAGUCUGAUCGCUGAGGACAUCUUUUGGGAUGGCCAGUUCUCAUUUGGGUUGCUUCCAAACUUGGUUUUGCAGAUUCUUCAAUCUGUGUUCUACUUUUCAGCUUUGACCUCGAAUCAGGUGGGACUACCCGCUGAACUUAAGCAUAUCAAUAA